rnacentral:misc_RNA from 1 species
AAUUCACUCACAUAAGAUUUUGAUUAUUAUACUUGUUCAUAAUAAAUACAACAUAUGUACUCCAGUGUGACAUGUGAACUAUGAAGAACUGAAAAAACAGUCUCAUAAAAUCAUAAUAUAGAAGAUAUACCAAUGCCCAGCCCAUAAUAUGUCAUCAGGCAGGGACAGCAUUAUCACAAGUAAUAUCUAAUAUCACCAAGGCCCAGAUUAAAGACAACAUGACAACAUCAAGAAGCAACUGAAACCAAAACAAUAUUAAAGGCAACAUGACUGCAUGAGUCUAGAAUUUGAGAAGGAUUUCCUCAUUAUUGAGGUAAUUUCAA